AGGGAACUUGUUCUACUUGAGGUUGAGGCCCUAGGCAGAAUUUAAAUCUCACUCCAAAGCCCUUAAAUAUUUUCCUAGAACCUCAGCCAUGUGAAGGUCCCCAGCAAAGGGAGGCAACUGGGCAGUGUGAUUGUAUAGUGAAAAGAUGGAGGUUGCCAGUAGAGUGUGGAUAACUUCUGAGACACUGGGAGGCCACCAAAGGCGAGACCACUCUGCUCCUUCUAGACUUUCAAGAAUGGUGUCAUGACCCAAUCUACAAAAAUGUCAGAACCCAAACAAUUUGGAGCAGUAAUGAAUUACAAGCUAUCAAACAAAAUAAUGAGGAGCACAUGUUCCACUGAGAAGAGAGGGAUAAGAUCUUUUAAUCAAUAAAGAAAAGUAAAAGCAUUAAAAAUGCCAUUAUUAGAGUAAAGUAAAAGAAAAAGAAUUAUAAAACCUUUGUUGUAUGUCUGGAUCUCCCACUGACUUAAUUGUUAUAGCUUACCUAAAAUCCUUUAUACUUUAU
rnacentral:lncRNA from 1 species